rnacentral:rRNA from 1 species
AUUGAACGCUGGCGGAAUGCUUUACACAUGCAAGUCGAACGGCAGCACGGACUUCGGUCUGGUGGCGAGUGGCGAACGGGGGAGUAAUGUAUCGGAACGUGCCCAGUCGUGGGGGAUAACGUCGUGAAAACUACGCUAAUACCGCAUACGAUCUAUGGAUGAAAGCGGGGGAUCGCAAGACCUCGCGCGAUUGGAGCGGCCGAUAUCAGAUUAGGUAGUUGGUGGGGUAAAGGCACACCAAGCCAACGAUCGGUAGCUGGUCUGAGAGGACGACCAGCCACACUGGAACUGAGACACGGUCCAGACUCCUACGGGAGGCAGCAGUGGGGAAUUUUGGACAAUGGGCGAAAGCCUGAUCCAGCCAUUCCGCGUGCAGGAUGAAGGCCCUCGGGUUGUAAACUGCUUUUGUACAGAACGAAAAGGUUUCUACUAAUACUAGGAGCUCAUGACGGUACUGUAAGAAUAAGCACCGGCUAACUACGUGCCAGCAGCCGCAGUAA